rnacentral:rRNA from 1 species
UACGUAGGGCGCAAGCGUUGUCCGGAAUUAUUGGGCGUAAAGAGCUCGUAGGCGGUUUGUCGCGUCUGCUGUGAAAACCUAAGGCUCAACCUUGGGCUUGCAGUGGGUACGGGCAGACUAGAGUGUGGUAGGGGAGACUGGAAUUCCUGGUGUAGCGGUGGAAUGCGCAGAUAUCAGGAGGGAACACCGGUGGCGAAGGCGGGUCUCUGGG